rnacentral:rRNA from 1 species
UACGUAGGGUGCAAGCGUUGUCCGGAAUUAUUGGGCGUAAAGAGCUCGUAGGCGGUCUGUCGCGUCUGCUGUGAAAACUCGGGGCUUAACCCCCGGGCCUGCAGUGGGUACGGGCAGACUAGAGUGCGGUAGGGGAGACUGGAAUUCCUGGUGUAGCGGUGAAAUGCGCAGAUAUCGUAAGGAAGACCAGUGGCGAAGGCGGGUCUCUGGACAGUUCCUGACGCUGAGGCACGAAGGCCAGGGGAGCAAACGGG